UAAACAAAACAAGAGCUAGGCACUGGAAAUCUGUAGGGCCAUUUGAAUUCCUCCUUUAAUCUCCCUGCAUUAUAGCAGCAGCAGAGCUGGAAAAUAACAUACAUUUUCACCAUUAUACAGAACAUAUAAUAAUCUUGUAAUGGUACUCGACAAUAUCCAUCCCACCUCCCUCUGACAGACAUUUUGAAUAUGUUUUGACUCCAGGGAAAUCACAUGGUCUUUAGUAAAAGCAUUAAAGGCUGCCCAGUUUGCGCUGCUUAAGAGCGUCUCGCUCUCCGUCGGCCCCUGAGGGUCGCGAGACUCAGCCCUCCUCAGGUACGACUCACUACAGAAAACAGUAAGACUUGGAGGCAGCGCUAUGGCAACAGCAGAGCCCGGCAUUAAGAUUCCGGUGGCGUUCCGAUCGCGAGCACACUAGUCACAGGUUUCUCGGGGAAUCUCCUCCAGGCUGCGCUUCCAAGGUCUUUCUGCAGUGACGGGACCACACCUGCAGCACGUACGUCACAGAUACUGUAAAUACAACAGAGAUAACAGGUAUAAAUACACAUCACAAGUGUAUCUCAUGAAUAAUAUCUCAGCUGUAUCUUCUCCACUGCAAUGUGAGCAUAAACGAUAAGCAAAUGGACACUCUUGCUUUGUGAUGAAACAUUAGUAGUGACAGAUCUCUUCCUCCAUAUUGUUACUUACAUCCAAGUGAAAUCUAUUAUCGUAAAGACAAAAUAGGACAGGGACUUGGUUCUGUCCAUUGGUUGUAGACUGUAUGGAAACUGAAUGGCUGAAUGUGAGCUUGUAGUUGAUUGUAAGAAUGAAGCUAGGUUUAGGCUGAUCAAAUGAUUUGAGAAGUGCAACAUAAGUCACCAGAGACAAAAAGAUCACAUUGUAACAUUUUGAAUUAUGAGGCCCGUUUUCCUUUUUUUUGUAAGUUAAAAUACUUUAUCCUAGAGACAACUAUAAGUAAGCCCUUCUUAGGUUAAUUCACCCGAAAGAGUAAACACUGCGACUCAUAGGUUCAAAAAAUAGCAUUAGGUGUUUAUCUGACCAGUUGCAAAAAAUGUAGUAUUCAUUCAUUCCUGUUUGGUCUGAAACAUACACACUUCACAUUCAGACCUCCUGCUUCUCAUCUUUGUCCUCAGACCCUAGUAAUCUCAUGUCUCCUCUAGAGUUCAGAUGGGGAUCUUAACCAUGCCACAAACUGCUCAGAGUUGCUAAGAUACCAAAGUCAUCAAAAGUCAGAGAUUUUAAUAUGAACUCAAAUUCUCUUCUCAUCAAAGGCUAUGCUACACAUUCAUUUCAUAGCUCUAUGCUCCUGCUGAAUAUCA
ensembl:lncRNA